rnacentral:rRNA from 1 species
GUGGGGAAUUUUGGACAAUGGGCGCAAGCCUGAUCCAGCAAUGCCGCGUGCAGGAAGAAGGCCUUCGGGUUGUAAACUGCUUUUGUACGGAACGAAACGGUCCUGGUUAAUACCUGGGGCUAAUGACGGUACCGUAAGAAUAAGCACCGGCUAACUACGUGCCAGCAGCCGCGGUAAUACGUAGGGUGCAAGCGUUAAUCGGAAUUACUGGGCGUAAAGCGUGCGCAGGCGGUUUUGUAAGACAGGCGUGAAAUCCCCGGGCUCAACCUGGGAAUUGCGCUUGUGACUGCAAGGCUGGAGUGCGGCAGAGGGGGAUGGAAUUCCGCGUGUAGCAGUGAAAUGCGUAGAUAUGCGGAGGAACACCGAUGGCGAAGGCAAUCCCCUGGGCCUGCACUGACGCUCAUGCACGAAAGCGUGGGGAGCAAACAGGAUUAGAUACCCCUGUAGUCC